rnacentral:rRNA from 1 species
UGGGAUGAUGUUGAAAGAUUUAUUGCAUACGGAUCGGCUCGCGUGCCAUUAGGUAGACGGCGGGGUAACGGCCCACCGUGCCGACGAUGGCUAGGGGUUCUGAGAGGAAGGUCCCCCACAUUGGAACUGAGACACGGUCCAGACUCCUACGGGAGGCAGCAGUGAGGAAUAUUGGACAAUGGCCGGAAGGCUGAUCCAGCCAUGCCGCGUGCGGGAAGACGGCCCUAUGGGUUGUAAACCGCUUUUGCGAGGGAGCAAUAAGGUCCACGAGUGGAUCGAUGAGAGUACCUCGCGAAUAAGCAUCGGCUAACUCCGUGCCAGCAGCCGCGGUAAUACGGAGGAUGCAAGCGUUAUCCGGAUUUAUUGGGUUUAAAGGGUGCGCAGGCGGCUUGUUAAGCGGGAGGUGAAAUGCCGGCGCUCAACGUCGGAAGUGCCUCCCGAACUGGUGAGCUUGAAUGACUCUGCCGUGGGAGGAAUGUGUAGUGUAGCGGUGAAAUGCUUAGAGAUUACACAGAACACCGAUUGCGAAGGCAUCUCACGAAGGGUUGAUUGACGCUGAGGCACGAAAGCGUGGGGAUCA